GGGAGCGGCGCCGCGAGCCGGGCAGGAGAGCGUGGCAGCGUCCCGUACGGCCCGGUUUGUAUUUAUGUGGAUGCCAUUGUCAAGCACAAGUGGGAUCUGCGGCAGCUCAGGCACCUGCGGGAGCUGUCAACACAGGGAACAGAGGGUUUCCCACUGCGCCUUACUCUGCCUGGGAUUUCGGUGGUGGCAAAGGUCAUCCUGGAAGUGCAGACACUGAAAAUCAUGGGAACACGUAUCAGAACACUCAAGUGGCCAAUUGCAAGAGAGGGACUUUUUCCUCCCCUUUCCUGUUCCCCGUGAUUAAUAAGCUAACAUAUGUGGCAAGGGAAUAAGGCAGGAGCACAUGAAGAGCAGGUACAUCCCUUUCUUUGUGGUAAGUGAAGAUUUUUUCAGUUACGUUGAAGACAGGCAGGUACCUACUUCACCCUAAAAAAAAAAAAAAUAAAUAAAAAAAUUCAGCUAGUUCAGUCUAAUCGUUCCAUUUUAUUCUUUGGCGUGCUCAUGGCUACGUGUACCACAGAGCACUUCUGCCUUAGUCAGAACAGUCUUUAUAAAAAAAGUAACCGUACUGAGCUAAUCAUUCCUCUGCAAAAUUGAUGCAUCACUUGCUUCCCACCCCACAGAAGUAAACAUGGUUGCUACCAGUAUCUUUGGGACAUACCUUGAAAUGCAAACAGAGUCGGUUACAAGUCCUCCUACACAGUUUUGCUUCAGCAAGGUGAUAAAGUGAAAGGCAGGUCUACAAAAGAGCCUAUUUUACUAAUAUAAUUUUAAAACAUACCAUUUAAGUUGCACCAAAUUGAGUUAGUAGGUAGGCAUGUUGAGGCAUUGCCUUAAAUACAAGCGAAGUAAAGCCCUAUCCCCACAAGGAGAUAGUUCUCUGCAUUUCUAUGAAAGUAAAAGCUAAGCAUUUUCAUUUGUUAGUUUCCUAUUACACUUUCUCCCCCCAUUAGUAAUUGGCAAAGGUCACCAAGAGCACCAAUGUUACUCCUUUUUGACUGUCUGUUGAGGUUGCAGGUACUGCAAAACAGCUCUAGCACAUACAGGACACAUACUUGGAUGGACACUCACCACAGGAACAUUUCACCUCCAGCUGCUUACCCAAGCCCUUUCAGAAGGUAAAACCCUUUACACUCUGUAGUGCACAUUAAGUGACUGCACAGAGCAACUUAAGCCCCAGACAAAGGCUUCAUUAAACACACUUUACCCAAGAGGUAAAGUGAACUGUACUUUACCUUUAGGCAGAACACAGGGCCAAGAAGAGCUGGCUUCGCUAGCUUCCACCUCUCUUCCAGCCUAGAAGGAUCAUUACCACACAGGAGCCACUCCAGCACCCAGCUUCACAAGAGCCCAGCUACCAACCAAGGAUGUUGAAUAUCCUCCCAGAACACCAGCUGCACCAGGACCUGAAGAAAAAAAGAGCUCUGCAGUGUUGGAACUCACCAAGGCAGACAACAGGUUGCCCCAGUACAGGAAAUAGAACUAGGGACUCCAGAUUCCCCACACAGGAGGACAGGCAGAACUUCUCACCUCUCCCUCCGUCAAUUCCAUCCCUCCAGGAGAGCACCUGCCACACACCACCAGGCUGAAAGGAAAGCACAGUGAAGCUUCGUGUCAAGCAAGGACCCAAACAGAAGGGGCUUUUGUCUGUUAGCACCCAGUCCUACCCUUCAAUUCCAUCCCAGGAAUACAGGUCAGACACAAAAGGACACAACUCACUUCAGUCCAUCCCUCCAUAGCACCCUUCUCCAGCCCUAAACAUGCAGGAAGGGCACCAAGGGGCCACCCAGGUGGGAGGCCCCACACCAAGGCAGACAGCACUCAGGUUUGAAGGCUCACAUCUUUCAUUCCAACGCUGAAGAAACCGCUCGCAUAUUCAGGCCAAUCGCCAGCAAAAACGGCUUCACUGCUGCCCUCACCCCACAGCAAGAUCAGAACCAGAGCUGUAGGACUGAAAAGGGCUCUCCGGAGAUCACCGUACUCCCAGAGAAGGAUGCUAGGCAGUCGUUGAUCUCUCAUCUGUUCCUCAGAAAGAAGACGCUCCCGCACCCCCAUCGUCUUCACCGCUCUCUGCCAGACUCCGCAAACGUCCUGUCUUCCUCGACCUGCAGAGUCCAGAAGCAGAUACGGCCCCGCCGGGGCACGUGGAACAAGGACGGUCCCCUCCCUCGCCCUGCCGCCCGCGUUCCUUUUAACUCACCCCAGGAUAACAUCGGCCACGAGGCGCGCGGCCCGCCCGCAGUACCUCUCACCCGCCGGGAACGCACAGUCUUCUUCGGGUGCCGCGCCUGUCAUACGGUUCUUCCCCGCAGCGGUGAGGCCAACUCCAGCUGCGUGAAGAAGGUCUUACCGACUUUCUCGUCCCGCUCUGUAACGGACGCCCCUAGGACGUUUGCCGCAUUACCCGCUGCCGAGCGCUCCUCCGCUCGCCCCCGGGCUUCCUCGCGUGAACCGCCGCGUCUGUCUGUCCUGAAAAGAACAUCGCCAGCCACACGAGCUGCCGCGAAUGGUAUUCCUGAAGUUACACGUAACUGGGGGAGAGGAAGGAGUGCACGCACGGCCCCGUCCUACUCGCUGCUAACACCGGACGCGGGAUGUGCUGAAGUGCCCUCGAAACCCUCUGCGGGGACCGCGGCGGCCCAGUGCCGAUCCUUCUAAAAGGCUGUGCGAGAGCCCGGCAACGGCCCCGUGCCGAGCCUAAGAAAUUGAGGUAGCCGAACAGCUGCGCUACGCAAAACCCGAGCGCAGAGCGCUUACCUGGCACCCCGAGCGCUCGCCGGAUCGGGCCGACAAGAGGCUCCGCCGCGGCCCUCGCUCCGCCUGCGAAAACGUAAACUUAAGUGUUAGCAGCCCUUCGCGUCGCGUGUCACCCUCACCAGCACAAAGGCUGGAACAGUACGGCCCCGUCCCGCUCGCUCCCGCCGAUGACGGCGGAAGGAACCGAAGCGACCG